UCAUGUAAUGAUUUCCUAGUGAGUUAGAGUAGUACCGGGAUGGGUGACCUCCCGAGAAGUCCUAGUAUUUUACAUGCC
rnacentral:rRNA from 1 species